AGUGUGCGGAAGGUGCCCUAAACCACAAGUAGGUGGAGCUUCCCACUACAAAGUUGAAUGACAGUGCUUAGGAGUCGCUGCUGUCAAAUCUAUAUCAUGACACUGGUGGGUUAAAGGAACAAGUUAGCUUCAAGCUCAAGGUAUGACGCAUGGCACUAUUUAAAGGGACUUGACAUCAAGGAGUGUCUGUACAACAAGAGUCAAGAACCAUGCAGACACAAAUGGGAAUCUUGCUGGGCCUCCUGUGGAUACAGAUUUGCUGGGUAAGAGCACAGAUGAAGGUGGAGCAGAGUCCUAAGGUCCUGACCCUCCAAGAGGGCAGAAAUGCCUCAAUGAUGUGCAAUUGUUCUAGCUCCAUGACCAGUGUGCAGUGGUUCCAACAAAGCCGUGAAGGACGCCUCACAUCCUUGGCGUACAUCGCUUCUGGAACGCAGCAAAAAGGAAGGCUGAUUUUCACAGUCAAUACCAAGGAACGUAACAGCCACCUGUACAUCACAGACUCCCAGCCUGGGGACUCAUUCACUUAUUUCUGCGCUGUGGAGGCACAGUGCUCUCCAGACACCUGCAGCCUGCACAUGAAGCCAUAGCUCA